CUGACGGACAGAACGAUCAGAGCUCCUCCCUCGUGCGCGCGAGCUCUCUUCUUCUUCAAAACUGAGGGUGGCAGGCAUCAAAGGGCAGGAAGAGCAGAGAGCCCACACCCACUGAGCUAACAUUUAAACUUCAUCCAAUCCCACCAGGAACCAAAGGCACAGUGCUGAACGAGAGAUUAAACCCAGAAAUAUGUAUAAAAAAAUUGACUUUCUCCUGCUUUCAAAUUGGUUCAAAGGGACAAAGAAACUUCAUCAAAGCACCACGUCCUUCUUUUGCCCUUACAUUUAAAAGCUUGGCAGAACAUGGAUCCGACGUCCUUUAGAUUUCAGUUUUAUGUCAUCAGAUGAUCGGUGCAAAUCUAUCUGCUGUUUCUGUCGGUAUAUCUUUACUCAACUCCUGCAUAAGUGCUGUGCUGACAGGUGAGCUUUUGUACUCAAGCGUCAUUUAAUGUGUGAAUUCAAUUCCAUUUGAUAAUAAAAUAUCAAACCAAGUGGCAUCUGCAAA